rnacentral:rRNA from 1 species
AUUGAACGCUGGCGGCAGGCCUAACACAUGCAAGUCGAGCGCGAAAGUCUUCGGAUGAGUAAAGCGGCGAACGGGUGAGUAAUGCAUGGGAAUCUGCCUGGUAGUGGGGGACAACGUCUCGAAAGGGACGCUAAUACCGCAUACGCCCUACGGGGGAAAGGGGGGGAUCUUCGGACCUCUCGCUAUCAGAUGAGCCCAUGUCAGAUUAGCUAGUUGGUGAGGUAAAGGCUCACCAAGGCGACGAUCUGUAACUGGUCUGAGAGGAUGAUCAGUCACACUGGAACUGAGACACGGUCCAGACUCCUACGGGAGGCAGCAGUGGGGAAUAUUGGACAAUGGGGGCAACCUGAUCAGCCAUGCCGCGUGUGUGAAGAAGGCCCUAGGGUUGUAAAGCACUUU